AAAAAAGGUAAGCUACUAAGAGCGAAUGGUGGAUGCCUUGACUGGUAAAGGCGAUGAAGGACGUACUAGACUGCGAUAAGCUACGGGGAGCUGUCAAGAAGCUUUGAUCCGUAGAUUUCCGAAUGGGGCAACCCAAUGUAUAGAGAUAUACAUUACCUAUAUAGGAGCGAACGAGGGGAAUUGAAACAUCUUAGUACCCUCAGGAAAAGAAAUCAAUAGAGAUUGCGUCAGUAGCGGCGAGCGAAAGCGUAAGAGGGCAAACCCAGUGCUUGCACUGGGGGUUGUAGGACUGCAAUGUGCAAGAGGUGAGUUUAGCAGAACAUUCUGGAAAGUAUAGCCAUAGAGGGUGAUAGUCCCGUAUGCGAAAAACAAACCUUAGCUAGCAGUAUCCUGAGUAGGGCGGGACACGAGAAAUCCUGUCUGAAGCUGGGUCGACCACGAUCCAACCCUAAAUACUAAUACCAGAUCGAUAGUGCACAAGUACCGUGAGGGAAAGGUGAAAAGAACUGAGGUGAUCAGAGUGAAAUAGAACCUGAAACCAUUUGCUUACAAUCAUUCAGAGCACUAUGUAGCAAUACAGUGUGAUGGACUGCCUUUUGCAUAAUGAGCCUGCGAGUUGUGGUGUCUGGCAAGGUUAAGCAAACGCGAAGCCGUAGCGAAAGCGAGUCUGAAUAGGGCGCUUAGUCAGAUGCUGCAGACCCGAAACGAAGUGAUCUAUCCAUGAGCAAGUUGAAGCUAGUGUAAGAACUAGUGGAGGACUGAACCCAUAGGCGUUGAAAAGCCCCGGGAUGACUUGUGGAUAGGGGUGAAAGGCCAAUCAAACUUCGUGAUAGCUGGUUCUCUCCGAAAUAUAUUUAGGUAUAGCGUUGUGUCGUAAUAUAAGGGGGUAGAGCACUGAAUGGGCUAGGGCAUACACCAAUGUACCAAACCCUAUCAAACUCCGAAUACCUUAUAUGUAAUCACAGCAGUCAGGCGGCGAGUGAUAAAAUCCGUCGUCAAGAGGGAAACAACCCAGACUACCAGCUAAGGUCCCUAAAUCUUACUUAAGUGGAAAACGAUGUGAAGUUACUUAAACAACCAGGAGGUUGGCUUAGAAGCAGCCAUCCUUUAAAGAAAGCGUAAUAGCUCACUGGUCUAGUGAUUUUGCGCGGAAAAUAUAACGGGGCUAAAGUAAGUACCGAAGCUGUAGACUUGAUUUUAUCAAGUGGUAGGAGAGCGUUCUAUUUGCGUCGAAGGUAUACCGGUAAGGAGUGCUGGAGCGAAUAGAAGUGAGCAUGCAGGCAUGAGUAGCGAUAAUUAAUGUGAGAAUCAUUAACGCCGUAAACCCAAGGUUUCCUACGCGAUGCUCGUCAUCGUAGGGUUAGUCGGGUCCUAAGUCGAGUCCGAAAGGGGUAGACGAUGGCAAAUUGGUUAAUAUUCCAAUACCAACAUUAGUGUGCGAUGGAAGGACGCUUAGGGCUAAGGGGGCUAGCGGAUGGAAGUGCUAGUCUAAGGUCGUAGGAGGUUAUACAGGCAAAUCCGUAUAACAAUACUCCGAGAACUGAAAGGCUUUUUGAAGUCUUCGGAUGGAUAGAAGAACCCCUGAUGCCGUCGAGCCAAGAAAAGUUUCUAAGUUUAGCUAAUGUUGCCCGUACCGUAAACCGACACAGGUGGGUGGGAUGAGUAUUCUAAGGCGCGUGGAAGAACUCUCUUUAAGGAACUCUGCAAAAUAGCACCGUAUCUUCGGUAUAAGGUGUGGUUCGCUUCGUAUUAGGAUUUACUCCGAAAGCGAAGAAACUUACAACAAAGAGUCCCUCCCGACUGUUUACCAAAAACACAGCACUCUGCUAACUCGUAAGAGGAUGUAUAGGGUGUGACGCCUGCCCGGUGCUCGAAGGUUAAUUGAUGGGGUUAGCAUUAGCGAAGCUCUUGAUCGAAGCCCGAGUAAACGGCGGCCGUAACUAUAACGGUCCUAAGGUAGCGAAAUUCCUUGUCGGUUAAAUACCGACCUGCAUGAAUGGCGUAACGAGAUGGGAGCUGUCUCAAAGAGGGAUCCAGUGAAAUUGUAGUGGAGGUGAAAAUUCCUCCUACCCGCGGCAAGACGGAGAGACCCCGUGGACCUUUACUACAGCUUGACACUGCUACUUGGAUAAGAAUGUGCAGGAUAGGUGGGAGGCUUUGAGUAUAUGACGCCAGUUGUAUAUGAGCCAUUGUUGAGAUACCACUCUUUCUUAUUUGGGUAGCUAACCAGCUUGAGUUAUCCUCAAGUGGGACAAUGUCUGGUGGGUAGUUUGACUGGGGCGGUCGCCUCCCAAAUAAUAACGGAGGCUUACAAAGGUUGGCUCAGAACGGUUGGAAAUCGUUCGUAGAGUAUAAAGGUAUAAGCCAGCUUAACUGCAAGACAUACAAGUCAAGCAGAGACGAAAGUCGGUCUUAGUGAUCCGGUGGUUCUGUGUGGAAGGGCCAUCGCUCAAAGGAUAAAAGGUACCCCGGGGAUAACAGGCUGAUCUCCCCCAAGAGCUCACAUCGACGGGGAGGUUUGGCACCUCGAUGUCGGCUCAUCGCAUCCUGGGGCUGGAGCAGGUCCCAAGGGUAUGGCUGUUCGCCAUUUAAAGCGGUACGCGAGCUGGGUUCAGAACGUCGUGAGACAGUUCGGUCCCUAUCUGCCGUGGGCGUAAGAAGAUUGAAGAGAUUUGACCCUAGUACGAGAGGACCGGGUUGAACAAACCACUGGUGUAGCUGUUGUUCUGCCAAGAGCAUCGCAGCGUAGCUAAGUUUGGAAAGGAUAAACGCUGAAAGCAUCUAAGCGUGAAGCCAACUCUAAGAUGAAUCUUCUCUAAGCUCUCUAGAAGACUACUAGUUUGAUAGGCUGGGUGUGUAAUGGAUGAAAGUCCUUUAGCUGACCAGUACUAAUAGAGCGUUUGGCUUAUCUUUAAUAAAGCAU
rnacentral:rRNA from 1 species